rnacentral:lncRNA from 1 species
CUGAUUUGGGCAGGACUCCAGGUCCUGUCCAGGUAAUUCAGAUGGAUAGGGGGUGUAAAGGGAGGCCAUACCCUUUGCUUCUCCAAAUGGAUUUGAUUAGGCUGAGGAAGAAGAGGAGGCCAUAUUGGAAUGCCUGCUUGUGAAGACUGCUCGGGAGAGGAUCCAAUAAAAAUCCAUUUGUGACCAAACUCACAAUCAAACCUUUGAAAGUAAUGAUGAAAGCCACCCUUCUUCCCCCCACUCACCUGCUGCAUCUUUUAACACGGCAGCACCGAGGCGGUAGUGUUGGGCCGUGAAGGGGUCAGACCUGAGUGGGAAUCCCGGAUUUGCCGUUUCCUGGUGUGUGGCCUCGGGCAACUGCCAGCCUCUCUCCGCCUGCCUUCUCACCUCAGGACAGGGAUGAUAACAGUACACACCUCACCGCAGAGUGGAGAGGCUUUGAGAAGACCAUCUGUGUGCAGUGCAUGGUGCAGUGUUGGCCACAGAGUAAACUCCUUGACCCAGCAUUUCCUUCCUGGGAAGGUUUUCUACGGCUCGUGUGUUGCCGGUUGGAUUCCUAAGGAAGCAGACUCCGAGAAUGGAAUUAGACUCACCUUGUUAGAUUGUGCUGCUACCAAUUAAAGAGAGAGAGAAGAGAAACUCGGAGGAAACAUUCUCCACUUUUCAGCUGCUCUUAUUUAAUCCGUGUAAAUUCCCC